GCGGGAAUAGCUCAGUUGGUAGAGCACGACCUUGCCAAGGUCAGGGUCGCGAGUUCGAGUCUCGUUUCCCGCUCCA
rnacentral:tRNA from 5 species